rnacentral:rRNA from 1 species
AACGAACGCUGGCGGCAUGCCUAACACAUGCAAGUCGAACGAGACCUUCGGGUCUAGUGGCGCACGGGUGCGUAACGCGUGGGAACCUGCCCUUAGGUUCGGAAUAACUCCCCGAAAGGGGUGCUAAUACCGGAUAAUGUCUUCGGACCAAAGAUUUAUCGCCUUUGGAUGGGCCCGCGUUGGAUUAGCUAGUUGGUAGGGUAAAAGCCUACCAAGGCGACGAUCCAUAGCUGGUCUGAGAGGAUGAUCAGCCACACUGGGACUGAGACACGGCCCAGGCUCCUACGGGAGGCAGCAGUGGGGAAUAUUGGACAAUGGGCGAAAGCCUGAUCCAGCAAUGCCGCGUGAGUGAUGAAGGCCUUAGGGUUGUAAAGCUCUUUUACCCGGGAUGAUAAUGACAGUACCGGGAGAAUAAGCUCUGGCUAACUCCGUG